rnacentral:rRNA from 1 species
AAGCGGACCUCAUAAAGUGCGUCGUAGUCCGGAUUGGAGUCUGCAACUCGACUCCAUGAAGUCGGAAUCGCUAGUAAUCGUAGAUCAGAAUGCUACGGUGAAUACGUUCCCGGGCCUUGUACACACCGCCCGUCACACCAUGGGAGUGGGUUGCAAAAGAAGUAGGUAGCUUAACCUUCGGGAGGGCGCUUACCACUUUGUGAUUCAUGACUGGGGUGAAGUCGUAACAAGGUAACCGUAGGGGAACCUGCGGUUGGAUCACCUCCUUA